AAAAAAGCCUACCCGCACGACCCACACGACCCCAAUCCCGUCUCCACCACGAGCGCGCCGCCACCCCUGCCACACCGUCGCGCGCCGCCGGACUGCCCCUCGCCGUCGCGCGCCGCCGGACUCCCCCUCGCCGUCGCGCGACGACGGACUCCCCCUCGCCGGCGCGCCGCCGGAAUCCACCUCGCCGUCGCGCCGCCGGAACUCGCCUUCACGCCACCGGAACCCAUCCCGCCGUCGCGCCGCCGGAACCCACCCUGCCGUCGCGCAACGGCGUCCCCGGGGCACGAGCGAGUACAGAGGGGGCCGGGACCAGAGGCGGGAUGCGAAAGCUGGAGCGUCGUGCGACACCUUGCGGCGGUCGUGGCCCUCACCGUCGCCUUCCCUCCUCUGUGGCCUGCCUGUGUCGUGGUCGUCGGGACUACUUGCCGUGGACGCGGUGGUUGACAUCUACGGCUAGCCGUGGAUUAGCACCUCGCUGCCUCCACAAAGUAUGGAUGCACCAUCUUCUGCUGCGGAGCGUGUGCUACUCCAGAGUAAUUUGCAAUGUUGUGGCAUAUAUGCUCGGUGGAAGAAGCUUCUGAUUUUGAUUUACAGGUGAUGCUGACAGGUCAAAGCUGUUUUGUUGGCUGCUGGCUUCAUGUGCUGUUAUAGUUCGCUACGGACAGUACAUAAGUUCCCUACAGCUACAAGUUUGGUGUACCAUAAUGUGUCAUGUAUUCAAUUUUGAGGUUUGGUAUUGAUUCAUUGAUCCCCUUUCCUAGGAUUCAUUAUUGGAAAUUGAUCUUGGGCUAUGGAACUAAGAUGAUCUACUCAAUAAGUUUUCUUACCACUAUAUCUUUUUUGUGUACUAAAUCACUGAUUAAUUACUACACUUAGCAAGAAACAAAGCUAGCGUUCGAGGGUGUGGAGGAGGUGAAACACAUGGGUCACCAUCACCCUUUCCCUCUAGAUCUGGUGCGUGUACUUUAACCUGGAUAUUCAGAGACGUCUUGAAAGGAAAACAAUUUGGACAUUAGUUGUAUAUUUGAUGAAGCUAUCUAAUUUGGACUUGAAAUUACAAUGUAAAAUUUCCUUUCAACUACUAAUUCAAUUUACAAAUUUUUGAACUUUACUUCUGCCACCAUAUGCUCCCAGUCAUCCCCGCCGCAUGUACGUCGCUGGUUCAUCCCGAUGCUUGUCAUCCUCAUCGUAACUGCCGUAGUUUGGCACCAGGCUACCUACCGGCGACGUUGCCCCGCAUGCCGUUGCCAGCUACUGCUCCUUACGGUCCGCGAGUACCCGCAUGAUUGGAUGCCUUACAGGCACGCACGCUCCUUCCUGAUCUGAUUUGUUCUCAUGGGAAAUCACUUCCUCGCCAAUUCCUCAAAGUUCGCAAAUAGUUUUUAUUUCAUGGAUUUAUUUUUGGGAACUCCUAAUGUUUUGCAUUGUUUUACAGGGACCAAUAGUUGGAUGGAAAAAAAUAGAGAUUGGCGAUGAAGAGUGAGAGCAGAGAGAUGAGAUAUAAAGAGAUCAGAGAGAGAGAGGCAUUGACUGCUGCACAUUUAGAUAGAUGCAUGGUGCUUCUUGUAUGAUGUAUGCUGUUACUAAUUGAUGCACAUUUAGAUAGAGAACAUACAUGUAGCUUUGCUACUGAUUGCUGCUGUUAUUGCUACAGCCUCAUCAAUCAAUAGUACCUAAUUUAUAUCCAGAUAAUUUGCAUAGGUCAUGAAGGGAAAAAGACGUCACUGAGCCGUUUGUUUCUAAUUGCAAGGUUAAAUAAUUUUGUGUGUUCUAACUCUAUGGGACAAUCUGAAGUUAUUUGGCUCAUCGUCGUGCGACGAGUUUCCGACUUCACCGUGCCUGUACACCAUUGACUUCACUGGAAAUCUGUCUGCACGUACUUCAUCGUCCGCCGGAACUUUGUCUGACCUGAGAACUGGAACUUUUCUGGAUUUUGUAAGGCUUCAGAUAACAACCCGGCAGGGGGAUUCAAUACCAAGAUUUAUGAUUUGGCAUAAGUGAGAUGACAUAUAGGCAUUUCCUACAUAUUGAGGGGUAUGCGUGAUAUCUUUUCUAAGGCCAUGAAAUAUUUUCAGAUAGGGAGAUAGCCUUCCGUGUCGCCGGAGGCCACUGUAGGCUGCACUGAAGGGCACACAGCAGGUAGACGGAUGCGGCGAUCCUGGAUGUGCUUUGCUGCUGUCAUUUUUUAUCAAGGACGCCACUGUCCAAGUCGUUCUUCUGCCUUGGAAGCUUUAGAAUGCUGGCAGCUGAUGGGGAUUAUAAGAACUUAAAUGCCAGAGAAGUCGUGCUCCCCUUUCCGACGACGACUCAGACUUGAAGUCCCUUA